GCGUCAGGGGUAAACUGAGAAACCCGAAAGAUCGAAUGGGGAGAUCAUCGUCAGCGGCGUUGGCUCCUGGGUGUGGCGUGAUGCUAUCCGCGGUAAGCGGGGCACGCGCUCGCCCGGUGUGUCCGGCGACGUCGGCGUGCACUUCUCCCCUGGUAGAACGUCGCGACCCGCUGGGUGUACGGUCUACGGGGCCGCGUCAUUAGACCGUCGCGCGCUCGUUUCGGCGAGCGUCGGCGGAGGCGCGGAUCUUAACCCGACCGACUGCCCGGCGGUAGUCGAAGAUGGUAUUGGGCCGCAGUUGAAUAAAAUGCGUUCAGGCCCGCCGCAAGCACGCUCGCGUUUCCCACGGGUUUACGGACACAGUGGCCGUACCCGGGGCCGGGCAGCUGUUGGCGCGCGGUGCCGCGAACUGGCUCUCGAAUUUGAUAUAUAAUACCAGUCGGCGACGCUAUCGCUUUGGGUACUUUCAGGACCCGUCUUGAAACACGGACCAAGGAGUCUAACAUGUGCGCAAGUCAUUGGGAUUUCAACGAAACCCACAGGCGAAUUGAAAGAGAAGGUCGUCGUCGCUUCGGCGGCGUUCGGCCAAGGGAUGAUGGGCCGCGUUGUUAUGCGGCCUCGCAAUCCCGGGGCGUCUCUAGCUCAUUGCGAGCUGAGGCGCACUUUGAGCGCACACGUUGGGACCCGAAAGAUGGUGAACUAUGCCUGGUCAGGACGAAGUCAGGGGAAACCCUGAUGGAGGUCCGUAGCGAUUCUGACGUGCAAA
rnacentral:rRNA from 1 species